GAAGUGGUACAAUGGGACAGUACACCAGGCUGUUAAGCAGAAGGUUGGUGGUUCGAGCCCACCCAGGGACA